UACGAAGGGGGCUAGCGUUGCUCGGAAUCACUGGGCGUAAAGCGCACGUAGGCGGCUUUCUAAGUCAGGGGUGAAAUCCUGGAGCUCAACUCCAGAACUGCCUUUGAUACUGGAGAGCUUGAGUCCGGGAGAGGUGAGUGGAACUCCGAGUGUAGAGGUGAAAUUCGUAGAUAUUCGGAAGAACACCCGUAGCGAAGGCGGCACUCUGGGCCGA
rnacentral:rRNA from 1 species